AUUGAACGCUGGCGGAAUGCUUUACACAUGCAAGUCGAGCGGCAGCACGGGGCAACCCUGGUGGCGAGCGGCGAACGGGUGAGUAAUACAUCGGAACAUGCCCAGUCGUGGGGGAUAACACUUCGAAAGAAGUGCUAAUACCGCAUACGUCCUGAGGGAGAAAGCGGGGGAUCUUCGGACCUCGCGCGAUUGGUGUGGCCGAUGUCAGAUUAGCUAGUUGGUGGGGUAAAGGCCUACCAAGGCAACGAUCUGUAGCUGGUCUGAGAGGAUGAUCAGCCACACUGGGACUGAGACACGGCCCAGACUCCUACGGGAGGCAGCAGUGGGGAAUUUUGGACAAUGGGGGCAACCCUGAUCCAGCCAUUCCACGUGAGUGAAGAAGGCCUUCGGGUUGUAAAGCUCUUUCGGCAGGAACGAAACGGUGAGCUCUAACAUAGCUUGCUAAUGACGGUACCUGAAGAAGAAGCACCGGCUAACUACGUGCCAGCCGCCGCGGUAAUAC
rnacentral:rRNA from 1 species